GACGUAGGGGGCCAGCGUUGUUCGGAAUUACUGGGCGUAAAGGGUUCGUAGGCGGUGUGGCAAGUCGGGAGUGAAAUUUCUGGGCUCAACUCAGAGACUGCUUCCGAAACUGCUGUGCUGGAGUGUGGGAGAGGCGCGUGGAAUUGCAGGUGUAGUGGUGAAAUGCGUAGAUAUCUGCAGGAACACCCGUGGCGAAAGCGGCGCGCUGGACCACUACUGACGCUGAGGAACGAAAGCUAGGGGAGCAAACAGG
rnacentral:rRNA from 1 species